rnacentral:rRNA from 1 species
UACGUAGGGGGCGAGCGUUGUCCGGAAUCAUUGGGCGUAAAGCGCGUGUAGGCGGCCCGGUAAGUCCGCUGUGAAAGUCCAGGGCUCAACCCUGGGAUGCCGGUGGAUACUGUCGGGCUCGAGUCCGGAAGAGGCGAGUGGAAUUCCUGGUGUAGCGGUGAAAUGCGUAGAUAUCUGGAGGAACACCGGUGGCGAAGGCGGCAUCCUGGACCAAUACUGACACUGAGGAGCGAAAGCCAGGGGAGCAAACGGG